AACAAGCAAACUGUUUCACAGUGCCA
rnacentral:piRNA from 1 species